CAGGCGAGAAUUCUACCACUGAACCACCGAUGCAGGCGACGAUCUCCUAGGAAUUGAAUAAGGGCCAAACCUUUCUGGGAAAUGUACAUGUUUGGACAACCCAGACUUGCUGAAAUUAUCCUUUACUACACAGAACCCAGAUGCAUUCUUAUUGUUAAAAGAAAGAUUCAGACAUUACAGACAGGUCUAAAUCACCCCUCUUCAUGUAGGAGCAUCUUUACAAAUGUAAUGUUUGCCUAGGUGCUGUUGCUAGAAGCUCUGUUGUAGUGUGCACUGGGACUCUUGUCUCAGAACAGCUUCAACAGAAGAGGAGCAAGAUGGCAGAGGAGUAGGAGACCUAAAUUUCGUCUGAUUCCAGGAAUUGGGCUAGAUAGGGAUCAAACCAUCCUGAACACCUACGAACUCAACAGGAGAUCGAAGAAAAGAAUAGCAACAACUCUUUGAACAGAAAAGCGACCACUUUCUGGAAGGACACAGUUCAACCCACAGAAAGAAUCGAGGGUGGAGGUAAGAAGCCCAGCUAAGAAGCAAUGGCAGCAAACCAGAAGCGAGAAGACACCAGCGGACACAUGUGUGCGUGCAGAGAGAAAAGACCACAUGAGGACACAGCAAGAAGGGAACCAUCUGCAAGCCAACAAGAGGCCUCAGGAGAAAGCAAAUCUGCUGACUUCUUGAUCUUAGAAUUCUAGCCUCCAGUACUGUGAGAAAAUAAAUGUCUGUUUGUUAA